rnacentral:rRNA from 1 species
GCGCAGCCUGAUCAGCCAUGCCGCGUGAGUGAUGAAGGCCUUAGGGUUGUAAAGCUCUUUCACCGGAGAAGAUAAUGACGGUAUCCGGAGAAGAAGCCCCGGCUAACUUCGUGCCAGCAGCCGCGGUAAUACGAAGGGGGCUAGCGUUGUUCGGAAUUACUGGGCGUAAAGCGCACGUAGGCGGAUAUUUAAGUCAGGGGUGAAAUCCCAGAGCUCAACUCUGGAACUGCCUUUGAUACUGGGUAUCUUGAGUAUGGAAGAGGUAAGUGGAAUUCCGAGUGUAGAGGUGAAAUUCGUAGAUAUUCGGAGGAACACCAGUGGCGAAGGCGGCUUACUGGUCCAUUACUGACGCUGAGGUGCGAAAGCGUGGGGAGCAAACAGGAUUA